rnacentral:rRNA from 1 species
UGAGUUCAAGAAGUACGUUAAACCGUCUGGGAGUAAACGGGUGGUACCCGAAAGUACGAAAGGGGAGAUUCAGGUCUCGCCGCGCGUCGGGCGGCGCCCGCGACCAGAGAUGGCGUCUUCGCGGCCGGGGGGCAACCCUCGGACCGGGGGGGCAACCCUCGGACCGGGGGCGCCACUCCGCGGCCGCCGUCUUUGUCCCGGCGCCGGAGUGACGCACUUCUCCCCCAGUAGGACGUCGCGACCCGUCGGUCGCCGGCCUAAGGCCCCGGGUGGAGUCUGGCCCGUUCACGCUGGCUGCGCACGACCCCGGGGAUCCCGGCCGGGUGCCCGACGGUACGAAGCGAGGAAGGAGUCGACGCGCCGCUCUUUUGUCGGCGUCCGGCCCUCCG